rnacentral:rRNA from 1 species
UACGUAGGGGGCAAGCGUUUGUCCGGAAUUAUUGGGCGUAAAGAGCGCGUAGGCGGUCCGAUAAGUCGGCUGUGAAAGUCAGGGGCUCAACCCUUGAAAGCCGGCCGAUACUGUCGGACUAGAGUCCGGAAGAGGCAAGUGGAAUUCCCGGUGUAGCGGUGAAAUGCGCAGAUAUCGGGAGGAACACCAAUGGCGAGGCAGCUUGCUGGGACGGUACUGACGCUGAGACGCGAAAGCGUGGGGAGCAAACAGG